rnacentral:rRNA from 1 species
AUUGAACGCUGGCGGAAUGCUUUACACAUGCAAGUCGAGCGGCAGCGCGGGGCAACCUGGCGGCGAGCGGCGAACGGGUGAGUAAUACAUCGGAACGUGCCCAGACGUGGGGGAUAACUACUCGAAGAGUGGCUAAUACCGCAUACGAUCUACGGAUGAAAGCGGCGGACCGCAAGGCGUCGCGCGAUUGGAUGAACCGAUGUCCGAUUAGCUAGUUGGCGGGGUAAAGGCCCACCAAGGCGACGAUCGGUAGCUGGUCUGAGAGGACGACCAGCCACACUGGAACUGAGACACGGUCCAGACUCCUACGGGAGGCAGCAGUGGGGGAAUAUUGGACAAUGGGCGCAAGCCUGAUCCAGCCAUGCCGCGUGGGUGAAGAAGGCCUCCGGGUUGUAAAGCCCUUUUGUCCGGAAAGAAAGCAUUCGGUUAAUACCCGGGUGUUCUGACGGUACCGGAAGAAUAAGCACCGGCUAACUUCGUGCCAGCAG